UACAGAGGUGGCAAGCGUUGUUCGGAUUUAUUGGGCGUAAAGGGUCCGUAGGCGGUUUGGAAAGUCAGAUGUGAAAGCCCACAGCUCAACUGUGGAACUGCAUUUGAAACUUCCAGACUAGAGUGUGAGAGGGGUAAAGGGAAUUCCCGGUGUAAGGGUGAAAUCUGCAGAGAUCGGGAGGAACACCAGUCGCGAAGGCGCUUUACUGGCUCACAACUGACGCUCAGGGACGAAAGCUAGGGUAGCAAACGGG
rnacentral:rRNA from 1 species